rnacentral:rRNA from 1 species
CCCUUAGAUGUUCUGGGCUGCACGCGCGCUACACUGAUGCACUCAACGAGUUUACGACCUUGCCCGAUAGGGUUGGGUAAUCUUUUUAAAAUGCAUCGUGAUGGGGAUAGAUUAUUGCAAUUAUUAAUCUUCAGCGAGGAAUUCCUAGUAAGCGCGAGUCAUCAGCUCGUGCUGAUUACGUCCCUGCCCUUUGUACACACCGCCCGUCGCUCCUACCGAUUGAGUGCUCAGGUGAAUAAUUCGGACUGCAGCAAUGUUUGGAUCCCGAACGUUGCAGCGGAAAGUUUAGUGAACCUUAUCACUUAGAGGAAGGAGAAGUCGUAACA